rnacentral:rRNA from 1 species
AACGAACGCUGGCGGCAUGCCUAACACAUGCAAGUCGAGCGAGACCUCCGGGUCUAGUCGCGCACGGGUGCGUAACGCGUGGGAACCUGCCCUUAGGUGCGGAAUAACUCCCCGAAAGGGGUGCUAAUACCGGAUAAUGUCUUCGGACCAAAGAUUUAUCGCCUUUGGAUGGGCCCGCGUUGGAUUAGCUAGUUGGUAGGGUAAAAGCCUACCAAGGCGACGAUCCAUAGCUGGGCUGAGAGGAUGAUCAGCCACACUGGGACUGAGACACGGCCCAGACUCCUACGGGAGGCAGCAGUGGGUAAUAUUGGACAAUGGGCUAAAGCCUGAUCCAGCAAUGCCGCGUGAGUGAUGAAGGCCUUAGGGUUGUAAAGCUCUUUUACCCGGGAUGAUAAUGACAGUACCGGGAGAAUAAGCUCCGGCUAACUCCGUG